CUCUUUCUGGAGAUCUGUCCUUGGUGAAGCUUUCCCCAGUAAGCCUGGAAUCUUCUGAUACAGCAUCUGCCUGCAUGUUGGACAUUCACAGGAUGACAUUUGGAAGACCUUGCUGCAGGGUUUUGUCUGAUAUUUAAGUUUGCAGUCUUCUAAGGCUCUACUCUAGGUGAAUGAGUAAAAAGACAAUCAACAUGAAAAAGAGAGGAGGAAGCAAGGCCAUGAGAAGCUUCUGAAAACAUGGCAUCCUAGUCCUGGCUGCGUGCCAUUGCCACACUUCAAAUGCAAUCAAGCUCAUAUCCAAGCAUUUUUCCAUCUCUUCUCAUCAUGGGAAAUGUUCCCAGUUGUUUAGCUCAACAUUUACUUGUCCUGAGAAGCAGAAACCAUGAACAGUCUUCCAAUAAGAUGAGUUAACUGGUUCCAGGGAGAUUUCAACAAAGUGCAACAGCUGUGUUUGACACUGGUAAAGCCAGGGCAGAAAGUUUUCUGCAUGGAAUUCUAGCACAUGUUUUGGCUGAGAUGGGCCUUAUUCUAAAGCAGCUGUUUAUGUAUUUGACUGUGCAGUGAGGCACAAUUCAGCUUCAACUGCCUAAAUGCGUAUUUACACAGUGUUCACAAAUCUGUUAUGCUGACAAAGAUUUAUCCUUUAAUUAUCCAACACAGUCAACCACCUUCAUUGGGACUUUUCCCAAGUUUACUUAAGAGGAGGAAAAACUUAUUAAGAAAAUUACCACAGAGG
ensembl:lncRNA